UUCAGAGUCGCUCUGCAUUAAGAUGGAAAAAAGAAGCUUGGAGAAGGGGAAAUGACUUUACCCAGCUAAGAAUAUGGCAAAGCUGAGCCAACUAGUCAAGUUUUCUGACCCCAAAUCCUGUAUUUCCCAUGACUCAUCUUGUGGAAGGCUGAGGCCUCAGUUUCUCUGUCAGCACCAGAUGGGGACUUCUUCAGCCUGACACUCCAUAACUCAAGGUUGCACCCACAUCUCCUACCUUUGGGGGAAGGAGAGAGGGAUUAUGGGACAGUGGCAUCAAUCUCCUUCCCAGGAUGGAUCCUCUGAGCUCUAUAUUUCUUGCCUAUAGUGACCAGGGAAUUUUCCUCUAUUGAUUGCUUUCUGUAAUCGAGCUUAACAAAUAGAACUUCCCUCAAAUGAUUCUUCCAACUAAACUGAUAGAAAGCUA
rnacentral:lncRNA from 10 species